rnacentral:lncRNA from 1 species
AACUUGAACUCUGUUCCAUUUGUGCUUUAGCAGAUUUCAAUGUUGGAAAUUUUGUAUAAUGUCAGACAUAAAGUAGUAUAUACAAAAAUUAUACACUAUUAUUCAACUUUCGAAUAAUAACCAUAAAAUUAACCAUUACUGAGUAAAUAUAUAAAUGAUCCAAUUAUUCAUUUCUCCACUAUUUUAAGAUUUUGAAAUAAUCCUGCUGAGCGAGGCAGCUAGUUGAUGGUGGGUCCCGCAAAAUUGCUGAAAAGGCUUCAUUUCUCAGAAACUCUAAUCAAAUCCAAGAUUGAAUGGGAUAGUUGCAUUUGAAGGAAUUUAUACCACUUAUGUGUGCAAAUAUGUCUGAAGAGUCUAUCAUAUCCUCUUCUUUCACCAUUACC